rnacentral:rRNA from 1 species
AUUGAACGCUGGCGGCAUGCCUUACACAUGCAAGUCGGACGGCAGCACGGGAGCAAUCCUGGUGGCGAGUGGCGAACGGGUGAGUAAUAUAUCGGAACGUGCCCAGUCGUGGGGGAUAACGUAGCGAAAGCUACGCUAAUACCGCAUACGAUCUAUGGAUGAAAGCGGGGGAUCGCAAGACCUCGCGCGAUUGGAGCGGCCGAUAUCAGAUUAGGUAGUUGGUGGGGCAAAGGCUCACCAAGCCGACGAUCUGUAGCUGGUCUGAGAGGACGACCAGCCACACUGGGACUGAGACACGGUCCAGACUCCUACGGGAGGCAGCAGUGGGGAAUUUUGGACAAUGGGCGCAAGCCUGAUCCAGCAAUGCCGCGUGCAGGAUGAAGGCCUUCGGGUUGUAAACUGCUUUUGUACGGAACGAAACGGCUCCUUCUAAUACAAGGGGCUAAUGACGGUACCGUAAGAAUAAGCACCGGCUAACUACGUGCCAGCCGCCGCAGUAACAC